UGGGGAAUAUUGGACAAUGGGGGCAACCCUGAUCCAGCCAUGCCGCGUGUGUGAAGAAGGCCUUUUGGUUGUAAAGCACUUUAAGCAGGGAGGAGAGGCUAAUGGUUAAUACCCAUUAGAUUAGACGUUACCUGCAGAAUAAGCACCGGCUAACUCUGUGCCAGCAGCCGCGGUAAUACAGAGGGUGCGAGCGUUAAUCGGAAUUACUGGGCGUAAAGCGAGUGUAGGUGGCUCAUUAAGUCACAUGUGAAAUCCCCGGGCUUAACCUGGGAACUGCAUGUGAUACUGGUGGUGCUAGAAUAUGUGAGAGGGAAGUAGAAUUCCAGGUGUAGCGGUGAAAUGCGUAGAGAUCUGGAGGAAUACCGAUGGCGAAGGCAGCUUCCUGGCAUAAUAUUGACACUGAGAUUCGAAAGCGUGGGUAGCAAACAGGAUUAGAUACCCUGGUAGUCCACGCCGUAAAACGAUGUCUACUAGCCGUUGGGGUCCUUGAGACUUUAGUGGCGCAGUUAACGCGAUAAGUAGACCGCCUGGGGAGUACGGCCGCAAGGUUAAAACUCAAAGGAAUUG
rnacentral:rRNA from 1 species